GCACAAUUUCUACAUAUGCCACAGUUCCCCAGGUUGACGACGACGACGAUGCCGCUGACGAUCGCCCAAUGCCACUGCUAGAAGUGGGUGUCCCUAGUGAUGAGAGCGAGACGCUAUUCGAGAGGUCAAAGACAGAAGCGACACGCCGCCUGGUCGACUAUAUCAGCCGGCAGUGGGUCCACGGCGGGUCCUUUGAACCAAGUGACUGAUAUGUCUUCCGACAGGACGUCCGUACCAACAACGACCUUGAAGGUUACCACAACCGCCUGAAUGGGAAAGCCGGCAGCGGUGUUGGUUUCUACCGACUAGUUCCUCAUCUCAGACAGGAAUCUGAAAUGGUGAGGCUAUAUACUGGUUGAAGGAUCCACCGGAUCACAACAACGCGAUCGGCAAAAGUUCAGAAGUCUCUGGUUUCCCUCUGGGACAAGUACGAGGCGAGAGAGUGCACUACCUCUGAGUUCCUGGCCAAGGUCGGUCAGGCGUACGGCGUUGUGCUGGAUUAAUGAACAUCCAUUUUGUCAUGUUGUCUGUGUAUUGUUUGUAGUUUUUCUUGUACAUGUAUAUUUUAUUAUGUAGAUAUGUUGUAAAUUAUGUUGUAUUGUGUCACGUUGACUGUACAUUGUAUUUUUCUCGUGCAUGUAUUUUUGUAAUAAAGAAAAUAAAAAAGUUCAUUCAUAAUGUAGCACUCCAUUUUGAUUUAAUUGAAAAUAUAACUCACAUGUUAAACCAUAUUAUUAUGUAAUUUAAAUUAAUUGAAAAUAUGUAUAUUUUGUAAU